GAUGAACGCUGGCGGCGUGCCUAAUACAUGCAAGUCGAACGGAGAAGAUAGCAAUAUCAUCUUAGUGGCGAACGGGUGAGUAACACAUGGGUGAUCUGCCCCGAAGUGGGGGAUAACAGUUCGAAAGGACUGCUAAUACCGCGUAAGCUCCUAGUCGUUAGAGAGGUAGGAGUGAAGGCGAAAGCCGCUUCGGGAGGAGCCUGUGACCCAUCAGCUAGUUGGUAGGGUAAAAGCCUACCAAGGCGACGACGGGUAGGGGGCCUGAGAGGGUGACCCCCCA
rnacentral:rRNA from 1 species